AAAAUGGUUUCUUUUGAAACCAUCACACCAUCCAGAAAAACAUAAU
rfam:Bacteroidetes bacterium RIFCSPLOWO2_12_FTLL_35_15 rifcsplowo2_12_scaffold_239, whole genome shotgun sequence.